GUGAACGCUGGCGGUAGGCCUAACACCUGCAAGUCGAACGGCAGCACAGUAAGAGCUUGCUCUUACGGGUGGCGAGUGGCGGACGGGUGAGGAAUACAUCGGAAUCUACUUUUUCGUGGGGGAUAACGUAGGGAAACUUACGCUCAUACCGCAUACGACCUACGGGUGAAAGCAGGGGAUCUUCGGACCUUGCGCGAUUGCAUGAGCCGAUGUCGGAUUAGCUAGUUGGCGGGGUAAAGGCCCACCAAGGCGACGAUCCGUAGCUGGUCUGAGAGGAUGAUCAGCCACACUGGAACUGAGACACGGUCCAGACUCCUACGGGAGGCAGCAGUGGGGAAUAUUGGACAAUGGGCGCAAGCCUGAUCCAGCCAUACCGCGUGGGUGAAGAAGGCCUUCGGGUUGUAAAGCCCUUUUGUUGGGAAAGAAAAGCAGCAGGUUAAUACCCCGCUGUUCUGACGGUACCCAAAGAAUAAGCACCGGCUAACUUCGUG
rnacentral:rRNA from 1 species